AGAGUUUGAUCCUGGCUCAGGACGAACGCUGGCGGCGUGCCUAAUACAUGCAAGUCGAACGCUUCUUUUUCCACCGGAGCUUGCUCCACCGGAAAAAGAGGAGUGGCGAACGGGUGAGUAACACGUGGGUAACCUGCCCAUCAGAAGGGGAUAACACUUGGAAACAGGUGCUAAUACCGUAUAACAAUCGAAACCGCAUGGUUUUGAUUUGAAAGGCGCUUUCGGGUGUCGCUGAUGGAUGGACCCGCGGUGCAUUAGCUAGUUGGUGAGGUAACGGCUCACCAAGGCGACGAUGCAUAGCCGACCUGAGAGGGUGAUCGGCCACAUUGGGACUGAGACACGGCCCAAACUCCUACGGGAGGCAGCAGUAGGGAAUCUUCGGCAAUGGACGAAAGUCUGACCGAGCAACGCCGCGUGAGUGAAGAAGGUUUUCGGAUCGUAAAACUCUGUUGUUAGAGAAGAACAAGGAUGAGAGUAACUGUUCAUCCCUUGACGGUAUCUAACCAGAAAGCCACGGCUAACUACGUGCCAGCAGCCGCGGUAAUACGUAGGUGGCAAGCGUUGUCCGGAUUUAUUGGGCGUAAAGCGAGCGCAGGCGGUUUCUUAAGUCUGAUGUGAAAGCCCCCGGCUCAACCGGGGAGGGUCAUUGGAAACUGGGAGACUUGAGUGCAGAAGAGGAGAGUGGAAUUCCAUGUGUAGCGGUGAAAUGCGUAGAUAUAUGGAGGAACACCAGUGGCGAAGGCGGCUCUCUGGUCUGUAACUGACGCUGAGGCUCGAAAGCGUGGGGAGCAAACAGGAUUAGAUACCCUGGUAGUCCACGCCGUAAACGAUAAGUGCUAAGUGUUGGAGGGUUUCCGCCCUUCAGUGCUGCAGCUAACGCAUUAAGCACUCCGCCUGGGGAGUACGACCGCAAGGUUGAAACUCAAAGGAAUCGACGGGGGCCCGCACAAGCGGUGGAGCAUGUGGUUUAAUUCGAAGCAACGCGAAGAACCUUACCAGGUCUUGACAUCCUUUGACCACUCUAGAGAUAGAGCUUCCCCUUCGGGGGCAAAGUGACAGGUGGUGCAUGGUUGUCGUCAGCUCGUGUCGUGAGAUGUUGGGUUAAGUCCCGCAACGAGCGCAACCCUUAUUGUUAGUUGCCAUCAUUUAGUUGGGCACUCUAGCAAGACUGCCGGUGACAAACCGGAGGAAGGUGGGGAUGACGUCAAAUCAUCAUGCCCCUUAUGACCUGGGCUACACACGUGCUACAAUGGGAAGUACAACGAGUCGCAAAGUCGCGAGGCUAAGCUAAUCUCUUAAAGCUUCUCUCAGUUCGGAUUGUAGGCUGCAACUCGCCUACAUGAAGCCGGAAUCGCUAGUAAUCGCGGAUCAGCACGCCGCGGUGAAUACGUUCCCGGGCCUUGCACACAACGCCCGUCAA
rnacentral:rRNA from 1 species